rnacentral:misc_RNA from 1 species
CUUUUUUACUCAAUGUGACUCAGUCUGUUCUCCUCUGCUCUUUUUGACCCUUUUUCAUGCGCGUAUGCUCGAAAUGGAGUCCCAAACCCAACCUUCAAAGAUUGCCUGUCUUGCUGAUUAUUCUAGUACUGUCUCACUCUCACGUUAUCUAGUUUCACUUCUUCCCCUUUUCUUUAAACAAGUCUAACGCCAUUCAUAUUUAAAAUUCUUUCUGUUCUGUUUAAGUUUUAGGUAUUGGACAGACAAGUUGUUUGAACAUGGAGAGACAUGGGUCCAGCGGGGGUUCUGCAGGGUCACCUCCAAUUGGGCUAGGACUUGCGCUUGGACGUGGUGGCUCGACUGAUCGUAGACCAAUACCAAUCCCUGGCUGCACCUUAUCUUACGGCUUCACCAUUCUGCAACUUCAAGAGCUACAGCUCCAAUCUCUUAUCUACAAGUACAUUGAAUCUGGAUUCCCAGUCCCCUACCAUCUUGUUCUCCCAAUAUGGAAGAGUGUUUCUAGCUCCCUCAGCGGUUUCAAUUCAAGCUUGUACCAACUCUACCCUACCUUCAUGGGGUAUAGCAUCCCAUUGCAUUUGGAAUAUAAAAAUGGGAUGGACCCGGAGCCAGGGAGAUGUAGAAGAACAGAUGGGAAGAAAUGGAGGUGUAGCAAAGAGGCUCUUCCAGAUCAGAAGUACUGUGAAAGGCACAUGCAUAGAGGGCGCCAGCGUUCAAGAAAGCUUGUGGAAGCUGCUUCUCAAAACAAUAGUGCUAGCACCAACCUCUCCAUUUCACUUCCAUUCUCAAAUGAUCCAUCAAAUGGAGAAGUUGGAUUGAGGCCGUAGUUUCAAACAGGAGAAAGGUUGUUGUUGGUGAUAGCAUUGUCAGAAAUUUCGUGGGCUCCAGCGUUGUUUAAUUUUGCC